rnacentral:lncRNA from 1 species
UUUGGAAUUACAGCAUGCCAACUUGAGAAAGCCUCUUCAGACAGCUGCCACAAAGAGUAAAUUGAAGGCUGGAUUUUUCUGAAGUCUUAAAUAACUACAUAUAACUGAAUAAAACCAGGAGCUGUUUGUAUUUUUUUUUAAAGGCUAAACGGAACAGCAUGCAUUUCGUUGCUCUGCAUCAUCUAAGGAAAAAAAAAUCCUCAGUUUUAAUGAGAAUUAGUCAACAGUGAGGAUCACUACCAGAAAAGGGUUUUACUGUUUUUCAACUACACUUGCUUUAGUGGAUUACUGAGAGAAAAGGCCAGGCAUUUGGAAGAUUCUGUAACAUUAUCAUCCUCAUCAAUAAACUUCAUCAAGGAACUGUUCAUGCUCCUGUCUGGUCUGUCUGAGUGAGGAGAGCAGCCCCUUCAUGAAGAUAAAAGCCUGCUUUGCCACUGAAUCGAGGAGUAAGAAGCAUGUCUGAUGACAUUUUAUUCCUGAUGCAAUGUAGGCUAGCUGCCAGAAUACUAGUGAAGGUAUUUGCAGGAAAAAUGGGGACCUCUGCCAUCACAACACUGGAAGAUGUAAAAAGGCAAGAGGAGAAAGAGGAAAAAGAAGAAUCUAUUUUAGCACUGCUUGGGAUUAUUGGAACUGUGCUCAAUUUAUUUGUUAUUGUUUUUGUGUACAUCUACACUACGCUUUGAUGACAUAUGUGAACAUCGAUUGCACAGCACACAGUGCAAAGACCAGCGAUGGUAAGAAUGAUUUCUAGAUUUAAAGCAAAAAAAUCCACUGUCUGACAAGAUGAUUGAAACAUUCCAGAGCAAAGUGCCUGGCUAAGGGUGCCGCACCAGUGACUGCUAAAUGUACCUGCGAGCCCAGCUAGGGUGCUAAAUUACGUAAAUGAAGGCAGACGAUAUUCAACUUCUCAUUGAUAAGAGAUGAAAUCCAAACAGCAGCAACAGAGGUGGCACUCUUUUAUUGCCAGCAAACAUGCAAGUCACAAGAAAUGUAAGCAAACACUGAAAACAAUCAGAACGUAGAAACAAAUUGAUUAAAUAUAUGAAUACAUACAAAGCAAGCCCCAUGAUGCUUUCUAUGGUUUUGUGCAAUAUGUCUCUUCAUAGCUGAGACCAGAAACAGAAAAAAAGGUUUUAUUUUUAAAGCAUCAUUAUUUAGGCUUAUAACUUACACUAAUGUAUAAUCAGUGUGAAAACAGGAACACUGUUACACCAAAAAUUGUAAUAUUAUAAAUAAAAUUUUAACUAUUGACUA